UUUGGAUAAGUUUUUUUUUUUUUGGCCCCUUCUUGUUUUGCUUUCCCCCUUUUCGUUUUGAACCCUAGCCUCUGAGAGAGAGAGAGAGGCGAUCUGGGUUUGAUUUCUCAUGUGUUUGAUUUCUUGGGUUUUCUGAAGCUCCAAAGAUGAACAAGAAGAUUGAACACAGCACCAGGAAACAAGCAAACUAAUCAAGCUGUCGCCAAGAUCCAACUCCAACUCCAAGAUCCCUAAAUCUCCAAUCAGAUGGACGAUCGAAGGGAAGAACACAGCACCAGGAUACAAGCAAACUAAUCAAGGCAUCGCCGCCGCCUCCACCAUUUUCGAUUGGAUUCUUCACUGCCUCGGAGGAGCAGACUAGUUUGAGCAGCCUCGGAGGAGCACAUAUGUUUUUGAGGCUUCAAGGAAUGGCACUUACCAGAGAAAGAAACCAAGACACAACACCGAUAGGCCAAAAAAAAAAUGAAGAUACUGCAUCCAAAGGAGAUGAAGUUGACACCUGAGAUCACUUUUGGGGGUGCUUGUAUUUGUAUGGGGUCUCAUGUAGUUUUUAUUUGUACAAAACAACCUUCUAUCUUUCUUUGUUUGUAUUUGUAUGGGGUCUCAUGUACUUGUAUUUAACUUAAAAUUUUAUUUUGUUUCAAUUUGAAAGCUCAAGAAAUUUUAUAGAGGUCGAUACUUGCUAUCA